GUGCUACACAGUUUUCUGAAAAAUAGCUAAAACAGUAAAGGCUGGAUGUGUAGCUCAAAUGGUAUAGCCAUUGCCUAAUAAAGCAGGAGGACCAAGACUAAAUCCCAGUACUACCAAAAAAAGAAAAAAAGGGAGAUGGGGAGAAGAGGAACAACAACAACCACAGUAGGGAAAAGAGAAAAUGAAGUCUUGAUGAUAGGCAAAUCUGUACACAAAAAUAAUUACACAAAAUUUUGUACUUGGCUAGUGUGUUUAUUUUCACUGAGAUAUAGGUUAACAAUUCUGAUAGUGUUUUAUGUGUGUAGUAACUCCCUUGUACAACUACUUAAAAGAUGAU